rnacentral:rRNA from 1 species
UACGUAGGGUGCAAGCGUUAAUCGGAAUUACUGGGCGUAAAGCGCGCGCAGGCGGUUGGUCGCAUCGGCGGUGAAAGCCCCCCGCUCAACGGGGGAGGGUCCGUCGAGAUGGGCCGACUGGAGGCAGGGAGAGGUCAGUGGAAUUCCGGGUGUAGUGGUGAAAUGCGUAGAGAUCCGGAGGAACACCAGUGGCGAAGGCGGCUGACUGGACCUGACCUGACGCUGAGGCGCGAAGGCGUGGGGAGCGAACGGG